rnacentral:rRNA from 1 species
AGCGAACGCUGGCGGCGUGCUUAACACAUGCAAGUCGCGCGGGAAAGAGACUUUCGGUCGUUGAGUAGAGCGGCGGACGGGUGCGUAAGACGCGGGUGGCCUAUCCGAGAGGCGGGGAUAACCCAGCGAAAGCGGGGCUAAUACCGGAUGAGCCCCCACGGCGGAAACGCGCGGGGGCGAAAGAUGCUACUCGAUAGUGGCAUGUCCUCAC